rnacentral:rRNA from 1 species
GACGAACGCUGGCGGCGUGCUUAACACAUGCAAGUCGAACGAUGAAGCCUAGCUUGCUAGGUGGAUUAGUGGCGAACGGGUGAGUAAUACGUGAGUAACCUACCUUUAACUCUGGGAUAAGCCCGGGAAACUGGGUCUAAUACCGGAUACGACCAAUCUCCGCAUGGGGUGUUGGUGGAAAGCGUUAUGUAGUGGUUAUAGAUGGGCUCACGGCCUAUCAGCUUGUUGGUGAGGUAACGGCUCACCAAGGCGACGACGGGUAGCCGGCCUGAGAGGGUGACCGGCCACACUGGGACUGAGACACGGCCCAGACUCCUACGGGAGGCAGCAGUGGGGAAUGUUGCACAAUGGGCGCAAGCCUGAUGCAGCGACGCCGCGUGAGGGAUGACGGCCUUCGGGUUGUAAACCUCUGUUAGCAGGGAAGAAGAGAGAUUGACGGUACCUGCAGAGAAAGCGCCGGCUAACUACGUG